rnacentral:rRNA from 1 species
CCCUUAGAUGUUCUGGGCCGCACGCGCGCUACACUGAUGCAUUCAACGAGUCUAAAACCUGGUCUGAGUGGGCUGGGUAAUCUUUUGAAAGUGCAUCGUGAUUGGGAUAGAUGAUUGCAAUUCUUCAUCUUCAACGAGGAAUGCCUAGUAAACGCAAGUCAUCAGCUUGCAUUGAUUACGUCCCUGCCCUUUGUACACACCGCCCGUCGCUCCUACCGAUUGAACGAUCCGAUGAAAACUGUGGAUUGAGAGUCUGAGUGGGUUCGCCUACCUCAACUUUCGAGAAGCGGUUUAAAUCUUAUCGUUUAGAGGAAGGAGAAGUCGUAACA